rnacentral:rRNA from 1 species
UACGUAGGGUGCAAGCGUUAAUCGGAAUUACUGGGCGUAAAGCGUGCGCAGGUGGUUCGUUAAGUCUGAUGUGAAAGCCCUGGGCUCAACCUGGGAAUGGCAUUGGAUACUGGCGGACUGGAGUGCGGUAGAGGAUGGCGGAAUUCCCGGUGUAGCAGUGAAAUGCGUAGAGAUCGGGAGGAACAUCUGUGGCGAAGGCGGCCAUCUGGACCAGCACUGACACUGAGGCACGAAAGCGUGGGGAGCAAACAGG